rnacentral:rRNA from 1 species
UACGAAGGGGGCUAGCGUUGCUCGGAAUCACUGGGCGUAAAGGGUGCGUAGGCGGGUCUUUAAGUCAGGGGUGAAAUCCUGGAGCUCAACUCCAGAACUGCCCUUGAUACUGAAGAUCUUGAGUUCGGGAGAGGUGAGUGGAACUGCGAGUGUAGAGGUGAAAUUCGUAGAUAUUCGCAAGAACACCAGUGGCGAAGGCGGCUCACUGGCCCGAGUACUGACGCUGAGGCACGAAAGCG